AAGCAACAAAUGCCCUGCUUCCAGGAAAAGCCUCUAAGCAUCAGGUAACAUCAAAUCGUACCCCAAACCGACACAGGUGGUCAGGUAGAGAAUACCAAGGCGCUUGAGAGAACUCGGGUGAAGGAACUAGGCAAAAUGGUGCCGUAACUUCGGGAGAAGGCACGCUGAUAUGUAGGUGAAGUCCCUCGCGGAUGGAGCUGAAAUCAGUCGAAGAUACCAGCUGGCUGCAACUGUUUAUUAAAAACACAGCACUGUGCAAACACGAAAGUGGACGUAUACGGUGUGACGCCUGCCCGGUGCCGGAAGGUUAAUUGAUGGGGUUAGCGCAAGCGAAGCUCUUGAUCGAAGCCCCGGUAAACGGCGGCCGUAACUAUAACGGUCCUAAGGUAGCGAAAUUCCUUGUCGGGUAAGUUCCGACCUGCACGAAUGGCGUAAUGAUGGCCAGGCUGUCUCCACCCGAGACUCAGUGAAAUUGAACUCGCUGUGAAGAUGCAGUGUACCCGCGGCAAGACGGAAAGACCCCGUGAACCUUUACUAUAGCUUGACACUGAACAUUGAGCCUUGAUGUGUAGGAUAGGUGGGAGGCUUUGAAGUGUGGACGCCAGUCUGCAUGGAGCCGACCUUGAAAUACCACCCUUUAAUGUUUGAUGUUCUAACGUUGACCCGUAAUCCGGGUUGCGGACAGUGUCUGGUGGGUAGUUUGACUGGGGCGGUCUCCUCCUAAAGAGUAACGGAGGAGCACGAAGGUUGGCUAAUCCUGGUCGGACAUCAGGAGGUUAGUGCAAUGGCAUAAGCCAGCUUGACUGCGAGCGUGACGGCGCGAGCAGGUGCGAAAGCAGGUCAUAGUGAUCCGGUGGUUCUGAAUGGAAGGGCCAUCGCUCAACGGAUAAAAGGUACUCCGGGGAUAACAGGCUGAUACCGCCCAAGAGUUCAUAUCGACGGCGGUGUUUGGCACCUCGAUGUCGGCUCAUCACAUCCUGGGGCUGAAGUAGGUCCCAAGGGUAUGGCUGUUCGCCAUUUAAAGUGGUACGCGAGCUGGGUUUAGAACGUCGUGAGACAGUUCGGUCCCUAUCUGCCGUGGGCGCUGGAGAACUGAGGGGGGCUGCUCCUAGUACGAGAGGACCGGAGUGGACGCAUCACUGGUGUUCGGGUUGUCAUGCCAAUGGCACUGCCCGGUAGCUAAAUGCGGAAGAGAUAAGUGCUGAAAGCAUCUAAGCACGAAACUUGCCCCGAGAUGAGUUCUCCCUGACUCCUUGAGAGUCCUGAAGGAACGUUGAAGACGACGACGUUGAUAGGCCGGGUGUGUAAGCGCAGCGAUGCGUUGAGCUAACCGGUACUAAUGAACCGUGAGG
rnacentral:rRNA from 1 species